rnacentral:tRNA from 1 species
GCCUAGCUGGCUCAGUCAGUAGAGCAUUUGAUCUUGAUCUCAGGAUGGUGAGUUCAAGCCCCAUGUUGGGCG